ensembl:snRNA U6 U6 spliceosomal RNA
AUGCUUGUUUUAACAGCACAGAUACUAAAAUUGGAACCAUACACAGAAGAUUAGCAUGGCCCUGCACAAAGAUGACACGCAAAUUCAUGAAACAUUCCACAUUUUA